UCACUUUAUAAGUACAUAUACUAAAACAUGAAUGAUACAAUGGAGAAUAGAAUGACCCCUGUGCAAGAAUGACACACCAUUCACUGAAGUAUUGCAUAUUUGU